rnacentral:rRNA from 1 species
AUACGGAGGGUGCGAGCGUUACUCGGAAUCACUGGGCGUAAAGCGCGCGCAGGCGGCCUGAUAAGUUGGAUGUGAAAGCCUACGGCUCAACCGUAGAACUGCAUCCAAAACUGUCAGGCUAGAGUGUGGGAGAGGAAGAUGGAAUUAGUUGUGUAGGGGUAAAAUCCGUAGAGAUAACUAGGAAUACCAAAAGCGAAGGCAAUCUUCUGGAACACUACUGACGCCGAGGCGCGAAGGCGUGGGGAGCAAACAGGAUUAGAUACCCCUGUAGUCC